rnacentral:rRNA from 1 species
ACACACCGCCCGUCACACUAUGGGAGCUGGCCAUGCCUGAAGUCGUUACCUUAACCACAAGGAGGGGGAUGCCCAAGGCAAGGCUUGGUGACUGGAGUGAAGUCGUAACAAGGUAGCCGUACUGGAAGGUGCGGCUGGAUCACCUCCUUUUCAGG